AACACUGUCUCUUACUGAUGAUGUCAGCUGUGUCAUCUCUUAUGGUUCAUGGUGGUGGGGCUUUGAGCAUAUGGUUUGUCAGGCAAAGCCAUUCUGAAAUCAGCAAUUUUACAAACUUUAACACAAAUUUGUGUUUUUUCAUGGUCAAGCCCACCAAUUCUACAAACCACAGCCGUUACAUGCCAUAUCUGGUUAACGGCUGACAACACAGACGUGACAUGAUAUAGAACCAGACUAAAGCAAUACAGCAUAUUUAUAUUUAUGGGCCUAGUUUUACCACUGUAGAGUCAGACUGACAGCAUUCCGGCUGUCUGUGUGCGGAAAAGGACAGUCCACUGACAGACUUGUGUGACUGGCUGCUAUGAGAACAAUACAACCACACCCCUCUGCUAUAAUAACAUGCCGCUCAGUCAUGUGUUCAUAAGAGCAAAGGUGUGUUUGAGAAAACACAGAGUAUUCUAUGUCUUUGUGUGAGUGUGUGUGUUGCGGUGUCUGUGAUCUUGAUGGUAAACAGGGCCAGCGUCUCUCCUCCUCUCACCCUGACGUCCUCUCAUGGAGAAUGUGUGUGUGAGGGUGUGUGUGUGAGUACGCGUGCAUGUGAGUGUGUGUGUAUGUAGGAAAGAGACACAGUGUGUAAGUCGGGAGCAGUAGUGACCAUAACAUCCAAAUCUCAGUGAGAUCAUGAGACUUUAACGGGGAAACGUAGAGAUCUCCCUGUCUGACAGGAUGGCAGGUUCUAACGUAACGUAGAGAUCUGACAGGAUGGCUGGUUCUAACGUAAUGUAGAGAUCUGACAGGAUGGCAGGUUCUAAGGUAACGUAGAGAUCUCCCUGUCUGACAGGAUGGCAGGUUCUAACGUAACGUAGAGAUCUCCCUGUCUGGCAGGAUGGCAGGUUCUGUUGU